rnacentral:pre_miRNA from 1 species
UCUUAUGGAUGAGCAAAGAGCUUGGUUUCUUGAGAUGGAAACUACUCCUCGUGAAGAUGCUGUGAA